AUGUACAUUCCUACAACAUAGUGUUAAUAAAUUGGAUCCCAUUAGAACUCCACAGUUUAUCCCACUCGGGCUAGACUAGUACUAGGGUGGGUGACCACCUGGGAAGUCCUAGUGUUUUACAUG
rnacentral:rRNA from 1 species